CUUUCCAUGGUUUUUUCUUAAAUCCAGAAACUCAAAGAUAUCUGCAUGCCAUGGCUCAAGAUAAAUAGCAAAAGCACCUUCUAAAAGUAUCCUUA